UGGGUGGUAUAGUGCAGGUGCAUCAGCACAGUUACAUUGAAAACCUACAACCAGUUCACUUACAGGCAGCACGAGCUGUACAGAGAGAGGCUCCACUAAACGAGAAAGUAAAAUAACAACUCCGGUCCAAAUUGGACAGAUUUUGUGAGUUGCUAAACAAACAAGACCAAAUGUAAUGUUUGACACAUGUAGCCUAGCAUCCAACAUUAAGAAUGAUACUGUUCAGUCCAUACAUGAAAUGAAAGUCACACUUAAGUUCCAACACUUGGGAAACAGUGAAGAUUUAAGUUUAGUGGCUUUCAGUGAUGCCUCACUAGGCAAUCUUCAGGAUGGAGGUACACAGGAAGGGGCUUUAAUUGUCCUCAUGGAAAAAACAGUAAAGUGUUCCCCUUUGUUUUGGCAAUCUAAGAAAAUCAAACGUGUGGUAAGAAGCACGCUGGCAGGAGAAACCCUUGCGAUUGUAGCAGCACUACCCAGACGGGUUGAAUGAUAAGUGCUUUAAUUAGAGACAGGUGUGCUAUGGGUGUAGGUGUGCAUAAAAGGAAGGUUUCCAGCAUUGUUUGAGGCUGACGGGUGGUUGCUGCUGUGACUUUGGACGUUGAAUGCCUAAUGUUUUCUUAGUGGAUUUUUUGAGCCGUUUGGGACCAGCAUUUGAUUGUGGACUUGCUGCAUUUUGGUAUACAUGCCAUGUGGAGUUUAUCCAUCACUGGAUGUGUCAGCAGUGCCGACUCUCUAAUAAUCAGCUUAAAGCACUCCGGAGGUAUAUGCCCAUAUGACACUGGGUAGCGGAUUUGGAUGGUGGCCCAGCUUCCCCUUCUUGGUGUUUUAUUAUUAUUUUUCUAAUUUUUUUGUUUAAGUAUCUGCCUAGCGGCUUACUUCUGUGACACCUGGUCCACCCCUUCAUUUGUGCUGUCCGCAUUAAGUGGCCUGUUCCUGGGAAUAACUGUGGGACAGGGUAUUAGUUUUUCUCAGUCGCUUUGGUGCAUUUCUCACAUCACUAUUUACAUUCGCACAACAGUUAGUUCAACCUCCACAACAUUUAGUCAUUUGUGCACGUCAUAGUAGCAGUUUCUCAUUCCUUCGAACAAAUUGCAAAUGCUUUUGGACAUGCAUCAAUUGCUUUCAUACAAUUCUCUGCUGUUUUAUAACAUUAUCAUUUGUUUGUCAUGUCAGUCAAAAUUAACUAUACUUGUGAAUGCUGAAUAGUCAUUCCAUGUAAAACUAAUAGUCCUUAUUUCAUUGCUUCAGUCAUUACAUACAAAAAUUUUCAAGUUUUUUUCAAGUCUUUUUUAUCCGAAAAGUCUCCUAAAUUGAACAAUUUUUGAGAUGAUGUGGCCAGACAGAGGAAUGUCUGGAUGUACAAGAAUGAUUACAGUACUAUGUCUGUUGUAUGUUCAGUUCCAAUAUGUACUGCAAUGUUUUUUACAGUUGUGCACAGCCAAAGUUUGUUUGUUGUAAAUAAGGAUGUAUUUUUUUCUUUUGCACAAUACUAUGAACAGAUUAGAAUUGCAAAUAGGGAUGGGACGAUUACCGGUUUCACGAUUAACCAUGAUAAAAUGUCCUGACGGUUAGUAUUAUCGUUUAAAAUGUAAUUAUCAUUAUAACCGUGUUUGAUUACCGUGAUUUUGAAAACUCGCGGUAAAUCCUGUCCAGCCAGAAUCAGCUUGACGCAGGCGCUCGCAUGCAACAUUAGCUUUUGUGCGAGAAGGCGUGGCGGAUGCAGUAACAGGUGCACUGUGUUUUAAUGCGUUGCUUAUGUGUGCAUUUGUUUUUAUUUAAGCUACUGUUCAUUAAAACAGGUUCAUACAUUUCAGGGCUCCAUGUUAAUGUUCAUUUAAUGCAGGGGUGUCCAACACAACCAGUCGAUCGCAAAUGCAAUGCGGGUAGAUCGCCUAUAAGUUACAGUUUUUCUCAGUCGCUUUGGUACAUUUCUCGAAUCAUACUCACAAUUUGCAAAACAGUAAGUGCAUUUCUCACAACAAUUUGUACAAAUAGCAAAACAUCAUGUAUAACCUGCAAAAGCCACUCUCUUGCUCAAAAUACUUAGUUCAUCUCUCAAAAUUAAAUAUCUGUGUCAAUGAACAUGUCAGUGCCAUCAGAAUAACAAGUCAUUGUGUCAUUGUGUACGGAUAAGACAGUCAAAUUGUUUAGUCAUGUUGUCAAUAUAACAGUUUACUCUGAAGUGAUGUUCUGAUGUAAACUAUGGCUAAAGUUUUGACGACAAGUAUUGUAAAUUGUAAGUUACACUUAGUAUAAGUUAUGUGUGAGUUUGAUUGCAAGAGACUUGACAAAAUUUACAUUUACGCUUUUACUGUUUGUACUGUAAUUCGUUGAAAGACCAUGUCAUUGACAUAAAGAAAGAUAAAGACAGCACUGUAAGCACUGCAUAGCAUAAAGAGAAAACAAAAGUAGAAAUGUGAACAUGAUAGAUGUCUAAAAGAUGUCUAACCAUAGCCCAAGAAUAGAUGAUGCAUAUAAUUUUAGAACAUGUAAAAGAAAUGAAAGCAAACACCUUGAACACACUUUGCUUACAUGUUAGAAUAUCAUACAUCUUCAAGUUAUUUUGGCAAAAAUGGCAUGUAACCAAAUUCAAGGUUAUUUAGGGUAGAAGUGGGUUACUCAUAGCCGGACUAUAUUGGGUCAAUAGUUAGCAGUCAUUUCAACGUCUCGGUUUUUGCUUGCUGGGGACAUUUCUGUCUGUUAGAGAAAGUCAAGAUUCACCUGGGAGCAAUUUACCAAUUCAGGACAGAUUUAGAAAAAAUGUCUAAUGGAAAUGUAUAGAAAUAUGUUUGACCAUAUCCUGUAUUUUGACAACAUGUUCAACCAUUUUGCAUGUAAAGACUUAUACUAUGAACUAAUGCCUAAAUAUUGUGGGGGGUGAGACUAUUCAACAGAGACCCAUUAUAAUACAUUUUGAUCAACAUGAUAUAAGCAACUGAUAAUGUAGGAAAAAGCAGAGAAUUGUACAUAAUCAUUUGCAUGGAUGUACCAAAGCAUUUGCAACUUGUUCAAAGAAAUGAGAAACUGCUUUUUUGAUGUGCACAAGUGACACAAUGAUGUGAGAAUUGAACAAGCAGUUUUGAGAAUUUCAAUUCUGAUCUGAGAAAUGUACCAAAGCGACUGAGAAAAACUGUAAUAACUGUAUGCUGCUCCACGCCUCCACGAGCUUCGGAAAGCAAAGCGCCAAAUUGGCAUUAUGGUCUUAGAAGUCUUUUUGAGUUGUUGAGCAUUUCUUCUCAAGUGUGUUUUUAUAAAUCUUAUGCCUGCCCGCUGCAGCGGAGUCGUCUAACUUCCGAAAUUUGAAUGCACAUACAUGCUGGAGUUGAUCCACACGUACGGUGUAUGUGCGCGCGAUCGACCGACCGAACGAGAGAGAAAUGCUUCUGAUAAUGUUGUCAGUUUAUUUCAUCAAAACCGCAUCUCUGCUAUAUGGUCUCACCAUGUACUCAAGGAUUUUUUUUAACUAAAAAAAGUAGAUUGCCACACAAAAAAAGGCCGGACACCCCUGAUUUAAUGUUUAUGCUUAAAAAAGUGCAUAUAGCUGCUAAUUGUAUUUGUUGUUUGCUGAUUUUCAAAAAUAAAACUUGUUAAAAUUUUUCAGUGUGUGUAUCAGUUCUUUUUGAACACUUCCAUCUCAAUUUAAGAAAACCAUGAUAAUAUUGAUAACCGUGAUAACUUUGGUCACUAUAAUCAUGAUAUGAAAUUUUCAAACCAUCCCAUCCCUAAUUGCAAAGAGCAUAUGCAGUGAAACAUACAUAUUCAGUGUCUUGUACUCGGUUACCUCACUAAAUACAGUAAUGUGUAACUUUAUUGUAUUUUUCAAAUAGCUGUGGAAAAGUGUAUAGUCUUGAGUAUUUUCAGGUAGUGUCACCAAGAUUUUACUUUUUUGCAUUGGAAAACAUUUAUAAAGUAAACUGUCAUAAUGAAAACAUGACUAAGCCACUUGACUAUCUUGUUCAUAAACAAUGGUGUCAGGACUUUUCAUUUUGAUGACACUGACACUUUCAUUGACAUGAAUACUUGCUUUUGAGGAAUGUCCUAUCCAUUUUGAGCAAGUGACACACUUUUGCAGGUUAUCAACUAGGUUUUGCAGUUUGUACUAAUUGUUUUGAGAACUGCAUUAACUGUUGUGCAAAUGUAAAUAGUGAUGUGAGAAAUGCACCAAAGCGACUGGGAAAAACUGUAAGUUGGGCAUUCGCUACCCCGUAUUGUUUCAACUGGAGGAGGUUUGCGUGGUUGUAUGGUACAUUUGUGGUCGUGUGCAUGAGUUAAGGUGUGUGUGACUUAUAGCGUGUGUAUAGUGUGAGAAUGACAUGUCGUUUAAUGUGCGUGCAUGAAUUAUAGAGGGUGUGCGUGUGGUAAAUAGAUUAUGGUUUAAGUGAGGAAUGAGUGCUAGUUUGUUUACUUUAUUUUGUAUUUGUUAUAAACUAUGAUGUGAUUUAUUUAGUUUUCUUUGUUUAUUUGAUUUAAUAUUGGUUUCACAAGUGUGUUUAUUUGGUUAUUUUGUGGAGCUGUGGUAUUUUAUUCAACUGUUAGGUCGGUCAGGGAGGAGUGUAAACCUCAAUUUAUUUUUUUGUAAUUGUUCACUGAGUAGUUUGUGUAACUUUGUUUCUUUGAAACACGUGUGGUGAAGUGAGCCCAAAGAAACUUGUAUUUAAAGUGUGUUGUGAAGUGGAAAUUUGC